CUUUUUGCUAUUUCUUGGGCCGCUCCCGCGGCAUACGGAGGUUCCCAGGCUAGGGGUCCAAUCGGAGCUGUAGCUACCGGCUUACGCCAGAGCCACAGCAACGCGGGAUCCGAGCUGCGUCUGUAACCUACACCACGGCUCACCGCAACGCUGGAUCGUCAACCCACUGAGCAAGGGCAGGGACCGAACCCGCAACCUCAUGGUUCCUAGUCGGAUUCGUUAACCACUGCGCCACGACGGGAACUCCAGGCCAUAAUUUAACUACAGAUAAAGGCAGAAAUGGAGACAGUGAAGAAGGAAAGGAUUAGGGAGUCACAGAUACCAACGUAACUCAAUUUAACAAAUACUGAGCACCUAUUAUUACCUGCCAAAGAACACCUAGAACAAGUCACUUUGCUUCAGCUUCCUCAUCAAAAUGGCAGUAUUAUUUAUCUCAGACAGUUGUAAAGAUCGAAUGAGGUGACAUGUGAAAGUGUCUAUAACAAGUAAAUACCCAAAAAAUGGCUAUUAAUUCCAGUUAUUUUUUAUUAAUUAAAAUAACCAAUAUGCUUCCUUUUUUGGGUGACAGAAUAAAAAUGUCUUGUUUGCAAAAAUUUAAUUUAAGUCAGCAAAACAGUUUCCCACUUGCUUGUUUAUACAGGUGAUACAUUUCAUGACAGUGGGUGCUGUAAUUUUGAAAUAAAUUACUCAUCAAGUUCAAAAAUAUUAAUUAAGGUUAGACUGUAAUUAGGUCUUCUAAUUCUCUUGUCUAUUUUUAACUUUCUCUAUAGUUCCACUUUCUAGGAAGUUUGUUUCCCUUAGACAACAAAGAAGUCCAGGAAGCAGCAGCUAAAGCUUUAACGAAGAAGUCCGACACUAUCGUAAAAUCCAGUUCAAACAAAACAAACAUUCACAUACACUCAUAAUAAUCAAUUAUGGUUUAGUCUACUCUAUAUACCAUAUGACUAUUUUUUGUAUAAGAUCUCAUUUCUAUAGAAUGAGUUAGGGAUUAGUACUUCCAUAAAAGCAGGUCUCUUAUUUUAAAAAAGUAUAUUUUGAAUAUGAAAAUUUUAAAUUCAAUCCAAAAUUUAUUUCAAAUUAUUCUAUUCCAUGAAAAGAACUACAAGUAAAAUAUGAAAAAAAUUUUUCUUCCCCUCUUUAGUAAUGAAUUCAUGCACAUAAAUAAUAAAAAUAUGUAAAGCAUCAUUCACAUUUAUCAAUUCCAUUCACUCACACUGCAUUUGCAUCAAAAUAUGAAUUCACAUAAAAAAGAAAUACCCACGUAUUAUGAAAAGGGCACAAAUUUUCUAGACUGUAAAAUUAAAAUAAGACUGAUAAAUAAACACACAUAGUAUCUUCAUUCCUCUAGAGUAUAUGCUGUACAUCAAAGAACUGAGAUGGCAAGGCUUUAUGCAAUGUAAAAGGCCUCUGAAGAGCUUUUGAACCUUUCUUGGGUUACACACUUGAUAGUACUCAUAAAUGUUACAGACAUCUUCUCAGAAAAAAAAAAGAAAAUGUGUAUGCACAAAUCCAUAAAAUGCAGCAAAUAAUUUCAGGAGCUUCAUGGACCUUCUGAAGACAGAACCCUUACAGGUUAAGGAUCCUUGCAGAGACCCUAGCUAUUCAGUGACUAUUUUCACAGUGACAUUGACCCAAAGGUUCAGGGCCUAUGGUAAUUUGUCAUUUUGCAGAGGCACACAUAUGAAUGAUACUAAAAUAAAGCUGAAAAAUAGAUGUGAAAGAGCAAAUCUUCCAGCUAGUGAGAGAGCCUGGUAUUCACCUCUCAGUUUGACUCUGCCAUCUUUACAACUCAUUAUUUAGUAGAAUAAAUACCAAGAAGUGCUUAGUGGUGAUCAUUAAUAAAUACAGAUGGUCUUUGAA
rnacentral:lncRNA from 1 species